UGAAGUGGGAGGAUCACUUGAAUCCAGGAGUUUAAGGCUGCAGAGAGCUGUGAUUGCACCGCUGCGCUCCAGCCUGGGUGAUGGAGUAAGACCCUGUUUCAAAAACAAAAAAAUAUAUAUAUACACAUGAGCUGCCCACACUAGCCUCUGAAUUAGCAGUGCCUGGCACUUCGCUGAAUUAAUGUCCCUGGAAUGUCUACUCCCUCUUUACGGUUACUGUCCUCUUCUCAGCUGACCCUACAUAGAGUGACUCAGUAGUCACCAACAAGGAAUGUCACUGCUGGCAAAGUCAUCUGCAAGGUGAUUAGACACUGGGUCUAUAGUUGCAGUUCUGCCACUAACGGGCUGUAUGUACAAGGGAAGUUUUUUUUAUUUACAUAGACUUGGUAAGGGUUUUUGAAAUAUUAGAGGGCUGGGAACCAUUUUGAUGAUUUCAGGAAAGGAAGGAAAAAUCGCCUGUUGGGUGCCUCCUGAGUGGGUGUCAGAACCUGGGAUAGGCACUGUUGCUGGUCGUCCCCCACUUAGUCCUCAGAACUUGCUGAGAUAGGUGUGACAAUUGCAUAACUGCUGACAGCCAACCCAAGGAAGUCACUGCAAAAGGACCUGCUACCCACUUAAUUUCACACUAUUCAUUCAUUUAUUCAUUCACUUAGUAGAUAUUGGUUAUUGAGUGCUUGCCAGGUAUCAGUCCCUGCAGCAGGUGCUAGCGAUAAUGAGAGAACUAAGUCCCAGUCCAUGACGUCGUGGCGUUUACAGUCUAUCUAGCCUUGCGGCUUUAUGCUGCCUUUAACAAAGGUCCUGUAGAAGAAAUUAUUGCUCACUGGCCACCACUAACCCGCACACCGCGUCCUCCUGCUGCUCAGCCACCCGCUUCUCCACGAUGGCGAUGGAAGAAGAGAUCAUCAUGCUUAUCAUUGACAAUGGGUCUGGCAGGUGCAAAGCUGGCUUUGCUAGGGAUGAUGCCCCCCGAACCAUGUUCCCCUCCAUUGUCGGGUGCCCCAGGCACCAGAUCAUGAUGGUGGACAUGGAUGGGCCAGAAGGACUCCUAUGUGGGUGACGAGGCCCAGAGCAAGUGCAGCAUCCUGACCCUGAAGUAUCCCAUCGAGCAGGGCAUAGUCACCAACCGGGAUGACAUGGAGAAGAUCUGGCCCCACACCUUCUACAACGAGCUGCGUGUGGCCCCAAGGACCACUCAGUGCUGCUGACUAAGGCCCCCCGAACCCCAAGACCAGCAGAGAGAAGACGACUUGCAUCAUGCUUGAGACCUUCAACACCCUGGCCAUGUGUGUGGCCAUCCACGCUGUGCUGUCCCUCUAGUCCUCUGGGCACACCAGUGGCAUUGUCACGGACUCUGAAGAUGGGGUCGCCCACAUGAUGCCCAUCUCCCCUAACCAACUACCUCAUGAAGAUCCUCACCAAGUGUGGCUACAGCUUCACCCCCAUGGCCGAGUGGGAGAUAGUGCGUGACAUCAAGGAGAAGCUGUGCUACGUUACCCUGGACUUCAAGCAGGAGCUGGCCACCGCCGUGUUCUCCUCGUUCCUGGAGAAGAGCUAUGAGCCACCUGACGGCCAGGUCGUCACCAUCUGCAAUGAGUGGGUCUGGUGUCCAGAGGCAGUGUUCCAGCUUUCUUUCCUGGACAUGGAAGCCGCGGCAUCCAUGAGACCACCUUCAGUUCCAUCAUAAAGUGUGACGUGGACAUCCACAAAUACCUGUAGGCCGAGAUGGUGCUGUCCUGCGGCACCACCAUGUACCUGUACAUUGCAGGCAGGAUGCAGGAGAUCACCAGCCUGGCGCCCAGCACCAUGAAGAUCACAUCAUCGAGUACCCUGAGCGCAAGUACACGGUGUGGAUCGGUGGCUCCAUCCUGGCCUCCCUGUCUGCCUUCCAGCAGAUGUGGAUUAGCAAGCAGGAGUAUGAGGAGUCGGGCCCCUCCAUCAUCCAGCGCAAAUGCUUCUAAAUGGACUGCGAGCAGAUGCCUAGCAUUUGCUGCAUGGGUUAAUUCAGAAGAAUAAAUUUGCUCCUGGCAAAUGCAUACACCCCAUGCUAGCCUCAUGAAACUGGAAUAAGCCUUCGAAAAGAAAUCUGUCCUUGAAGUUUGUAUCCAAUAUCAGCACUGGAUUGUAGAACUUGUUGCUGAUUUUUACCUUGUAUGCAAGUUAACUGUUCCCUUGCUAUCUGUUAAGUACCCUGUACAUAUCUUGGAUCUCAGCCCUUAGUAUAUGUGGCUUGGUCACUUUGUGGCUGAGGUAAGAACGUGCUUGUGGAAGACAAGUCCAUGGCUCGGUGGGUCUGCGUGGCCAGCAGUCUCCCACCAGUGCAGGGUGUUAAUGUGUUAGGGUUGAGUGUUCUGGGGUUUCUCUAGAGGCUGGCAAGGGCUCCUGAACCACUUGUGUCUGUCCUGCUGGUCUGUCAGGAUUGGAAAGUCUAAGCCAUAGGACCCAGUUUCCUUUCUUAGCUGAUGUUUUCCUCCCAGAACACCAUGGCUGUUACUUGCCUUGAGUUAGAAAUGGUUUGCAUUAGGCCGGGCGCGGUGGCUCAAGCCUGUAAUCCCAGUACUUUGGGAGGCCGAGGCGGGUGGAUCAUGA